rnacentral:misc_RNA from 1 species
GAUGAAGAACGUAGUGAAAUGCGAUAAGUAAUGCGAAUUGCAGAAUUUCCGUGAGUCAUCGAAUCUUUGAACGCACAUUGCGCCCACUGGUAUUCCGGUGGGCAUGCCUGUUCGAGCGUCAUUUCAACCAUCAAGCCCCAGGCUUGCGUUGGAGCCCUGCGGCUGCCGCAGCCUCCUAAAAGCAGUGGCGGGCUCGCUAUCACACCGAGUGCAGUAGAUUACUCUUCGCUCAGGGCGUGCAGCGGGUUCCGGCCGUGAAACCCCCUACUUUUAAAGGUUGACCUCGGAUCAGGUAGGAAUACCCGCUGAACUUAAGCAUAUCAAUAAGCGGAGGA